rnacentral:rRNA from 1 species
CCUACGGGAGGCUGCAGUGGGGAAUAUUGGACAAUGGGGGCAACCCUGAUCCAGCCAUGCCGCGUGUGUGAAGAAGGCCCUCGGGUUGUAAAGCACUUUCAGUGAGGAAGAACGCCUGGUGGUUAAUACCCAUCAGGAAAGACAUCACUCACAGAAGAAGCACCGGCUAACUCCGUGCCAGCAGCCGCGGUAAUACGGAGGGUGCGAGCGUUAAUCGGAAUUACUGGGCGUAAAGCGCGCGUAGGUGGCUUGAUAAGCCGGUUGUGAAAGCCCCGGGCUCAACCUGGGAACGGCAUCCGGAACUGUCAAGCUAGAGUGCAGGAGAGGAAGGUAGAAUUCCCGGUGUAGCGGUGAAAUGCGUAGAGAUCGGGAGGAAUACCAGUGGCGAAGGCGGCCUUCUGGACUGACACUGACACUGAGGUGCGAAAGCGUGGGUAGCAAACAGGAUUAGAUACCCGAGGAGUC